UUUUGGUUCCCUUCACUCUUCCUAAUCAGAUUCUCGAACCUAACUUAUCGACUUCAUCUUCAAUAAAUUCUGGAACAAAGUUACAAGCUAACUGGAUUGUCAUUCCUCUUAAGACUUGCAGGGAUUUGUGUGCUUAUUAUAGAAGCUGUUCAAGGUCCUAUUUGCUGGGGAUCAUAUUAGCAAAGUUGGAUGUGAACUGUCUAUGGGGGAACAAUCAGCAGUCAGGUGCCUUAAACGGAACAGCACACGCAUCAAAUUUUGGUUGAAGUUCACUGCGAUAUAUUUUGUAGGAUCCUGAAACGGAACGGUUAUUUGAAGUUCACUGCGAUAUAGUUUGUAGGGGUCUUGAAACGGAACAACUUGCACAUCGUGGUGGGCGCCUUUGGUAAGAAAGAAAGCUACUUCCGGUGAUAAUAUUGUUGAUUCUGAACGUUUCCGACUGAAUGCAAUUGUGUAAGAUACUGCUUCAUUCUUUUGUUAGUUUUCUGUUCAAUUUUUGUGGCAACUAGCUACUUGCUUUGGUGGAAAGAUAAGAGUCUGAAAUUUGGAAGAUAUUUGUUUUGUAUUUACAACAAUGUCGUUGCAUUAUGUUUUGCGUCUACAGGU